rnacentral:rRNA from 1 species
AAUAGAUACCCAGGUAGUCCAUGCUGUAAACGAUGAGAACUAGAUGUUAGGGGGCAUGACCUCUUAGUAUCGAAGCUAACGCGAUAAGUUCUCCGCCUGGGGAGUACGGCCGCAAGGUUAAAACUCAAAGAAAUUGACGGGGGCCCGCACAAGCGGUGGAGCAUGUGGUUUAAUUCGAUGCAACGCGAAGAACCUUACCUACCUUUGAAUCCACGGAACCUAGCAGAGAUGUUGGGGUGCCUUCGGGAACCGUGAGACAGGUGCUGCAUGGCUGUCGUCAGCUCGUGUCGUGAGAUGUUGGGUUAAGUCCCGUAACGAGCGCAACCCUUGUCCUUAGUUGCCAUCAGGUUAUGCUGGGCACUUUAAGGAGACUGCCGGUGAUAAACCGGAGGAAGGUGGGGAUGACGUCAAGUCCUCAUGGCCCUUACAGGUAGGGCUACACACGUGCUACAAUGGGCAGUACAGAGGGAAGCCAACCCGGCGAGGGGGGAGCGAAUCUCAUAAAGGCUGUUCGUAGUCCGGAUUGGAGUCUGCAAUCCGAU